rnacentral:rRNA from 1 species
UACAUGGGGUGCAAACGUUGCUCGGAAUCAUUGGGCGUAAAGCGCGCGUAGGCGGUUUACUUAAGUUGGAUGUGAAAGCCCUCGGCUUAACUGAGGAAGUGCAUCCAAAACUGAGUAGCUAGAGUACGAAAGAGGGUCGCGGAAUUCCCGGUGUAGAGGUGAAAUUCGAUCAGAUAUCGGGGAGGAACACCGGUGGCGAAGGCGGCGACCUGGGUCGAGACUGACGCUGAGGCGCGAAAGCGUGGGGAGCAAACAGG